UGAUCGUAAGAAGUUGACAGCUGGUAUCACGCUGCUGUCGCGCAUGCGCAGAACGAGAGCGGUAGUCGUCAUGGCGGACACUUGCUGGCCGAGCUGCGCUACGAAUUUAAAAGGCGUCAUACUGGACAUGUGCGGAGUUUUGUAUGACAGCGGGGAGGGAGACGGAGUGGCCAUCCCUGGCUCCGUCGAAGCCGUGAGGAAGCUCAAAGCGUCCGACCUGAAGUUGAGAUUCUGUACCAAUGAAACUCAGGCAGCGAGAGAGAAGUUUGUGGCCAAACUCCAAAGAUUGGGAUUUGACAUUUGUGUCAGUGAGGUCUUCUCUCCGGCACCUGCAGCAGUUGCUGUGCUGAGACAAAGAGGGCUGCGGCCCCACCUGCUGGUGUACGAUGCGCUUCUGCCUGAGUUUGACGGUAUCGACACGAGCGAUCCUAAUUGCGUGGUGAUCGGUGAUGCGGCAGAAAAAUUCUCUUACGCCAACUUAAAUGAAGCAUUCAGGGUCCUGAUCGGGCUGGAGAAGCCAACCUUGUUCUCCCUCGGAAAAGGAAAGUAUUACAAAGAGACGGAUGGUCUGAAGCUAGACGUGGGAGUUUACAUGAAGGCUCUGGAGUACGCUUGUGACGUGGAGGCCGAGGUCAUCGGGAAGCCCUCUGCCACGUUCUUCCAGAGCGUUCUCAACGACAUGGCUCUGCAGCCACAUGAGGUGAUGAUGAUUGGCGACGAUCUGGUGAACGAUGUUGGCGGUGCCCAGCAAGUCGGAAUGAGAGGCGUGCAAGUCCGAACAGGAAAAUACAGGCCCAGUGACCAGAGGCACCCGAGCGUGAUUGCCGACGGGACGGCCGACAACCUGGCCCAGGCUGUGGACGUGAUCCUCAACCGCAGGGGGAAACCCUAAGCGUCAUGUGACGUAACCACUGCCAGUACAUGAUUGUCAUAGACUGGAUGCCGACGUACUCCAGUUACGCUCGUAUCGGUUUCCCCCGGGUGGAGUUUGGCGGGCCAGAACGCUCGCCUCACAAAUAACGACGCUUCCUAUUGAUGCCUUGUCUCACUACUUUGUCCAUAAAUGUUAGACUCAAUAAAGAUCUGUGACAGUUGUCAAUCUGUCAGACGUCGGGAUAGUUUAACGUCUACCCGGAAUUCCCUUUUUCCUACAUCUGGGAACGGGAAGCAGCUUGGCCGCUGAGACGACAACCGCAAAUCAAGUGUGACCAAUCGCCCCUGGAAUCUGCUUUCAAAGUGUCACAGCAUCAUCGGCGUCACGGCCAAGCUUUUCCCGGGGGCCCGGCCGCCUCAUUGUUACAUCAUUAACCGCUCGUUAGCAUUCACUCCGGCGUCCCGCGCUGAGGUUCAGCCUCGGCGAGAAAGUGGGCUCGGGCAGGCCAGCUGGAACAAAACAAAAACGAUUGUUGGAAGGCGGCUGCCCCCGGAGCUUCCAGCGUCCCCGAAUGGAUCCAGCGCCAAGAACAAAAGCCCAUUGGCGAGUGAUUCAUUGAAGGCUUCGUGGUUCGCUUCACCGUGAACUGACACAAGCUCGACUGUUAAUGGGCAAUUUGAGUUCAUGAAAUGCUCUAAAAAGGACAUAAGCCACGCCUCUUUCUGAUUGGCCAAGGAACCCGCUGCAAAGUGCUAGCAAGCUCGUUCUUAAGCUGAUGAUCUCAUUUUCAAUGCUAAGCUGACUGACACCUUGGGCCGACGGCGCGACAAAGCCUGGAGUCUGUCUGUUAGACCAAAUUCAGAUCUUAGAUUGUGCAGGUGUAGCUAAUGCUAUGUCAGAAGAGCAAUAAAUCUCACAAAAAAAGCACCUAAGGUUGAAGUAUUUGGAGUGCACUCUUGCCCUUGACCAGGAAUCCGCGUGUCGACUCAACUCUGCACACCUGCACACUCUGAAAUUGGUAUUUGAGAUUUUAUUUGAAGCUCCUCUCCCCCAAAGCUUGCUCUGUCUAAUUGACUUCAAAUUUGUGGUGCGCUUCGACAGGAAAGGGUGUGACCUGUAGAUUUGACAACAUGAGCGAGAGCGUCGGGCCAACUGUCAUCUGAUAAGACCUCAAAGAACACUUCCUAUCGUUUGAUUGCUAAGGGGUGGUUGAGGACGUUUGCUUGCCGUUGAGGUUGCCGCGAGGUUAGCGAGCCGGCCUGACACAUGGCCCGCAUUCACAAGCGCCGGGCGGGCUUCUCGCUCAGAAAAAAAGACCCUUUUGUUUCCCCCAGUGCAAGGAAGCCUGCGUGGGCUGGGGGUUAGGCCUCUGGGGUGAACAGCAGUUUACCUCCGUCACUCCGGCCGUAAUUAAAAAAAAAAAAAAAAAAGCGACCGACAUCAUCCUUGUUCGGUCGGCUUCACAAACACAGGCUCAUCAAGUAACGCUGUGGCUUGUCUUUAAUUGGGUCACUUUGCAUUGUUGCAUUAAACACAAAAUAACUUAUUAAAACUUCAGUUGGUAACCCGCAGAGAUCCUCUUUAGGUCCUCUCCCCAUUAUAUUCUUCUCGAGCUAAAUCGGAAAAAGAGGAAAUCCCCAUUAUAUUCUUCUCGAGCUAAAUCGGAAAAAGAGGAAACGUACACACGGCACAUUUCAAACGGUUUAUUCAUAUAGAAAUACGCUUGUCGUUACAAAUUGUAAAAUAUUAAUGCUAUUGAAUAGAAGCCACAUUUUCCCGUGUGUCCCAUGAAAAAAUUAAGACUUGUUAUUUCCCCUGGACAUUGGACACGUCCUGAUUGCUUUGUCUCCUGAAACACACUUAGAACCCCUGCGUAGUUUCGGGGACAGCUUAAGACCACUCCCAACCCCAACGUCCUUUAGUCCGUAAGACUUUCAAGUCUCAAUUCCGCUCGAUCUGCUCAAUGUCCAGCUCGCCUCCGAGCAGACAGGCGUCCUUCCCGGUGCCUCUCCAAAGUGCCACCGUAUCUUUACGAUGCGUGGAGAGCCGCUCCACCUCCCGCGUGGCCAGGCCGCUCGGCUCGUGCUUGGUCAUAGGCGCAACGUCGUCCCAAGCGUUGCUAGUAGAAAAGUCCUCGCUGUGUCCGGACUUGCCUGAGAUUCCCGGGCAGCUGAGGCUGUGGAAGUUCUGAAGUUUCUGCAAAGAUGGCCGAAAAAGAAAAAUGUUACAGUUAAUAACUGAAUGCUUCGAAGUGUGACAACAUGUGAUUGUGGCACAAUCAAGGCAUACAUGGGCGAGGACCUUGAAAGGACCUCGUGCGGAACGGAUGCCAGGGUCCUGACAGCUGCGCAUUAAGACGAUCCCCUCUUUACGCUUUAAUGCCGAGAAGACGGAACAGCUGCCUCGCGCUUGACGGAAAAAGGAGCCCAGUCAAAGCCCCUCGCUGGCUUACCGAAUCAACAAACGGGCCGUGCUGGAGAUGACUGGAAAGACCCUUCGUGAGAACAUCUACCAGGUUCAUCAUCUACUCUGACCUUGACUGGCUGUCUAUAGAAGCUGAUUGAUAACUCAGGAGACCGAGCCUGGCCUGGCCUGUGAUCUGCCCGCUGAAGCUGAAUCGAUCCCAAUCAAUAUUUAUCUCUUCACAAACACGCCCCACUGGCGUGACCUCUGCCGCAGCUGUUCCACUCGCUUUUCAUGACUUAGUGACUGUCUGAAACUAGUUUGACCGCCUUUCCAUGUCGGCAGGGAGUGGCCUCACAAGCAGUGAUCUUGGGGAUUCCACUCAUGCGUAUCAUGGCUGCUCCACCAACCUGAGUCAUCUUUGCCAGAUCCAGCGAGGGCCUUUGCAUGUCAUCUGGCCUCCUGCGCUUGACCCCCAUCUUCUUGUCAUUGAGAACGCAGGGCUGCGAGCGGCUACGGGCCAGACUCCCCGGCCCUCCUCGGCGCUCCAACUCAGGGGUGGAGUCGGGCGAGCUGACGGGCUCGGGGAUCUCUUCCUGAGAGAGGUAGAAGGGCUGGGCCGGGGCGGCGGGGAGGCUGAAGCUGGAGCUGCGCUGGAUAGCCGGGAAGCCCGUGUGAGCCAUUCCGCCACGGUGGACGCUCCCGCCGCUGUGGCACCUCCUCUUUUCAACCGCCGUCCACACUCUGGAUCCCUGGGGUCUCCAAGUGGAGCGGUGCAGCUCGGCGAAGCAGGAAAGCGAACGGCAUUGACGUUUGCUAGGCGGCGCCGCCGGCGGCGGCGAAGACGCGGCGGCCUCCGUCAAGCUGAGGUCCUGCAGAAGGCUGUUGAUGCUACCGGACGCGGAGCCCACCUCCCAGCCCCAUUGGGAAGUGCUCCGGUGCACCUCGGGCAGGACGUCCCAAAGACUCUCCAGGCUCGUGCCGACCGGACUCUGCGGCGAGGCGCAGCCGCGUGCCACCUCGCACCAUGGCCUUGUAUCUACAAAACAUUCACCAGACGCGCUUAAAUUCCUUCCUCAAUGGAGUCUCACCGGAACCUCAACUGAGAUAAGACGACAUGUCAUGACUUUGCUCUUUUCAACUCUUACCCGCAAGUUCACGAGGGAAGAGCGUUGUCCCCUGGCUCAUGGUCUGCGCCCGCAGCUAUGGAAGUAAGACCAGAAAAAUCAAGCAGGCAUCUUGACGUCAUUGCAUGUGGCCCAGAGGGCAGCACAAAAUUCUUCCUCUCCUCCUCCUCCACCUACGUGAUCUACAAAAUGAGUCAGACUUGCGAAACGUCAACGACUCUAUUGUGACAGCCAGUGGAGUGAAUGGAGAGCGGGUGACAGAAACACGCCGGCCGUAGCUGACGGAGCUCCAGAAAUUGAGCCGUGAUGCAAUUCAAUGUAACAAGCCUCCCCGUCUUCUUCAUUUCAUUUCCAUCGUAAAGUGAACGACAUGGAAAUCGGAACUGUAAUCAAAGUUGACACUCACCGAGCCCAACUGUGCGCUUUUGCGCGUUACAUUGUCGCCGCCCUUUACUGGCCUCUUCUUGCAAAUGAUCACCAUGGCGAUGCACAUCCCGGUCCUCAGCUGUUCCGGUGAGUGUCAGUCAAGUGGGCCAUGGCCAAUGUUCACUCCUUCAACUGCCAACUCUGAUGGAGAGACACACCAAGUUGAGCGCACUCAUAACUAUAGUAACUUAGUAGCUUUUAGUUCCAAGUUCCUGGAAUUGUCUAUUUCUUUUUUUUAAACAUAUUUACCUAUACUUAACUACCACCACAGGCUCUCACCGCCAAGUCACCAAAACCGCGGAAUCCGACACUUGUUUUGUUCGAAAAGGACGACUCGCAGCCGUCCGGGAGAGAAAGUUAUUCUCAAAGUCAAAGUUGUGUAAGUCAAUCCUCAUUGUUGGGGGGGGGGGGCGUCCAGAAAUAGCCGACCUUGCGGUUAUCAAAACAACCUUCCUGGUCGUGGAGGAUGCGAGCAGCACGUAGCAAAUUUGCUAAUACUCACCGGAUGACAUUUUCACAAAUUGAUUUUGCUAAAAGCGCAAAAGAAAGCAACACUCACAUAUGUGUCAAGUGACUGAAAAAGAAAGUACGUGAGUAGUGGCCUACUUCUUUUAGCCUUUGGACUCUGUCUUGUGUCAUAAUGUAGAGGGUGUGUUGUGACAAAGCACGCCAUAAAAAAAUAAAUUAAAAUAAAAAGACGCGCUACAAAUAACCAAAGCUAAUUGCCGUUUGGAACCAGUUUUUUGGACGCAGCAUGCCUAAUCGCUGUGGUAAUUCACUCAAAGGCCAGUUGUUGUUCGGAAUUAAAGGGCAGGUGCCAGGGUGACGGACUAAAAAGAAACAUAGGCUAUGUUCACCUACGUCUAUUUAUGAAUGAAUGAAAUGAGGCGCUCAUCCGACGUGGGGGGGUACGGGGGGGGUCUCCUCCAGCUUGCAGCUGCCCGCUUACCAUAAACACAAAGGCUCAGCAUGGCCACCAAGCAGUGGCGCGCUCCCAAGGGGGCCGCUGUUUAAUUAUCCCCCCCCCCCCACACACACAUAUAAUCGCCGCCACUGUAUACAUUGGCGCAGGAGCGACGUCCAAAACGGAGGCCAUUAAGGGCAAACAAUUGAAAACACAAACAUCCUCCUACCCGCGCAGCACGACAACACCGGGCCCCUGUCAGAAGCGCACUCGUCUCUUUUAUAUGAAGCUUCUGCAAAACUGCUAAUUCAGAGCUUCGGCCUUUUUCAGAGAACCCAUGUCAUUAUUAUUAUAUUAUUAUUCACAAACCUUUCAGAAUUGAGAAGAAGUUCCCAGUAAUUCCAUAUAUAGAAAUUGUUUGCUAAAAAAAAAACAACAACAACAAAAACAACAAGUUUCGCUUUCCUGGGACAUCAUUCUUGUGCCUCACUCUUCAGGCAUGGUCAAUUUAUGUUCAAUCCAACUGGGUUGACCUUUAAUCUUGUAAAUUACUUCCUGAUUGAUUCCCACGGAAGGUUUCCAACUUUGAAAAGGUGGCCAACAAUCUUGGACUAUGUAUAAAUGCUACGUAUCUGCAGAAUCAUACAACACUUUUUUGGGGAGGGGGGGGUCCCACCAUUAACAGCUGAGAUCCCCCUCACGAAAGGAGAAUUACUUUGCCGUGACUAGCGGCCACAGAAUGUUACACGCAAGCUAGAGAGCAAACACGAGGUCUGUGGCGAUCCGCUCGUAAAUGGAACGUCUGCAGAAAGGGUCAAAUGUGCAGUGUAAUAUUUUCCACAUGUAUUGUCACAUUCAAGUUCAAGGGGUGCGUUUAUGAGCCCCACCGUGACCGGAUGACUGACGGCAACGAGUGCUUAAACUUCUGGUUCUGCUGGACUCAUAAGACGGCAACAUUCCAGUGUAAUAGCCUUUACUUGAACACACAAGUCACAAGAAAAAAAUAACAAUAAAACACGUUUUUAAAAGCUCUCGGCAAGGUGUUGCAAAACCUUUCAUUGACACAUCUAACUUUCUUAUCAUACAAGCAAAACGGUAUGUAUAAUAAUUGAUCUGGAUUCAUACGGAAGUAAAUAAUACAAAAUAGAUCCAUUUUUACACUAAUGUGGCACAUUUUAAACUUAUUUGUAUCCCAUUUUUGCUUCUGACUAGGCACGAGCCAUUAUCAGAUUAUGACAAUUAUAACCUUGAGCUAUAAUAUUACGGUUUCACUGUAUUGCACCCCCCCCCACACACACACACACACACGCCACCCUCAGGUGGAUGCCCGACCCCCCCUUGCCUCACCCCUUUUCACGCCACUGUACCCCAUGUGAGCUCCCGACUUUAUCUUCCAUGACAGUGUAAAAAAAAUAAACAAUAAUAAACGACAUACUUUUCGGCAUCUAUUUAGGACAGUAAAUGAAGACUCCCGUGCGUGGGGGAAAACACAAUUUCGGUGAAUUUAUGCACACUAUUAAAAGAAGUACACAUUACAGACAAAAGAAACAUGAUCAGAGUCCGGUAAAAAAGUUUUCAGAACUAAAUAAAGUUAUUAUUUGACAAACAAUCACUACCUGUGUUGAUCGGAAAAAGAUGUAAAAGAGUUAACAAGUUAGUAAACAGAGUUCGUAUUUACGACUAUUGUAUUGACAUAAACGCAGCAAUAGUCAAAACACGAGUCUGGUGUCUAACAUUACCUUCUAGUUGAUUUUCACUUUCGCUGGAUCAUGUUGGGAUCUGGUCAGCCUUUUAAAACAUUCAAACAAAAAAUAUAAAAAUGCAAAGCCAGCGCGUGUCAAGCACGCAGUAAAUAGGUUGAGGGAUAAAGUGCAACAUUUACUCAAGUCCUCUGCGCUACUAGUGCGUUCCAACGUUGCUCGUGACAUCACACACUGGACGAAACCAUUCACGGCCUGCCGGGAGGGGUGACACAUUCCCAACGCUAAAGUCGACAUCCGAAUAGCAUAUUUGUAGUUAUUCCAGGUGAAACACUCAUAUUUCCAACCUGUGUGCCGUUUUGUCUAUUCAAUGCCCAUUUCGAAAAUAUGUGCAUUCAACGUAAUGGAUCGAUCCGGCCGUGCUGUCAUGAAAAGUAAUCCAUUACAGCACACACUAAAGUUCUUCCAUAACAAAAAACUUCUAACCUGGUAACUUUACCAUACCAAUGUGACCCAGUGGGGGUUAGUAGUGAGAUCUAGCUUUCUAAAACUCCCAGAAUAAACUUCCUUAAAAAGGGUGGAAGGAUGAUAAAUACAUUUAUGGCAAACAGAUGUCCAGGAAGUGACCUUUAACAUUGCUUUAACCCCAUCAUGAGUACUCAAGUAAGAAAAGUCUCACUGUACUAACCACCUCUUGUUGUUGUUUUUUCAAAUAUAGUAGAUGUGAUCAAUACUACGCUGAUGUACAACCACCAAACAAUGACCUUUGAUUGGCACUGGCCAGGAAGUGUUCAUUUUGUGAUAUUGUUCCUCAAAUAGCAUUUUUGGCCAAGUCAUUUAAAGACACGUUUUAAACAAACAAACAUCUUCUCGGUCAUGCAUGUCAUUUAGACUUAUUUACGAGCAAUGUAGAAAAUAGAUAGCUGUACAUUUGGAGCCGUAAAAUUCUAACUUUAUUGGUGGUUUUUUUUUGCACAUGUACGUAUUUUAGCCAUUAGGCUGAUUAAUAAGUUAGUAAAUAUGCAAUCGAAGCGAUAAAAACAAUUUUAGUUCUUUAUGAAGCAAUGGUUGCAUAUUAUUUUGGACACUUGUUGGUUGUGCUGCAUUUAUUUUGUGAUUCUCCAUGUAUCCUAUGUAUUUAGCAUGUGGUGGGAACCCUAGUUUGCCAAGUCAUGUAUGUCAUGUACAGGAGUGGGAACUGCGCCGCCGCACCCCUGGCAGAAAGCCUUUUGUUAAUCAAGGCGUAACAUCUGUUGCGUGCCACUAAUCCCCCCAGUGGCCCCCCUUCUCCACUGUCUGCCUUUCGCCUUAAAGGCAGACACGAUUUGUGCUUGGGGGUGCAAACGUCUUAGCAUGUUUAUGACACACUUGCAGUGUGUUCAUCUCUCCCGAGGAGGGCGCUGUCUACCCGUCACAAACGUUAAUGAAGCUUUUGUUUACAUUUCAGUUGAGCUUUCUCGGUUGCCGUAGACCUCUUUUUUUUUAGAGCUGGACUUUCUCGUUAAGUGCCAGUUGUGUUUUGACUGAGUAAUUUAAACAUUUUUUCACGCUCUCUUUCCUUGCCGUUAAUUGGUUAAUUUACGGGCAUAAUUGCGACAGGAUCCGUUUGUUUAUUUGUGACGUCACCGGAAGCUCGAGCUCAACUAAGGUAACUCGUUGCACGCCUCGUAGCACUCAUCUGUCAAUCAAGGAACACGUUUGACAUACGCAAACACACUGAUGGCAGGGGAAAGAAGAAGCCAACUCCAGCAAUAAAGGGCAAAACCGUUGAAAAGAGACUUGGAUUAAUCGCCAAAGCGCUUAACGUGACUGUUGCAGGGCACCUAAGCGUGCGCUCUCCGCCUUCUUGCCGUCCAUGUUGGUCUCCACAAUUUUCCACAGGGCCCGGAUGUUGCCCUCACCGAAACCGCUCGACCCUCGUCGCUCGAUCAGCUCCAGGAAGAAGGUGUCCUCCUCAAAGAUGGCCUUGGAGAACACCUGCAGGAGGUAUCUGGAGAGGAGAUGACACUGUUGUUGAAAAUAGUGAUGGACUAGUAUGUUCCGUUGUGAAGACAGUGAUCAUAUUAAAGAUUCCUCGCAAUCAUGAA